ACUCUUCCUCGCUUGUGUUUACAUCGGACACGCAGUAUACCAGAUCUAUUGCAUUCAUGUUUACCAGGUGUUUAUGAAUACAAAAUGUCUGGCAGCGAAUCAGAGGUAAAGCCAAUCUCCAUCUGGUGGCGUUUCUACGUGUACGCCGUCCAUGGAUACGUCACAGAGAUUAUGUUUACCGCCCUCUGGGAAUUUGUGGUUAACCUCAACUGGAAGUUUCCCGGAAACACCAGUGUCUGGGUGCUGUUAAUUUACGGACUCUCAGGCUUGGUGGUUGAACGGAUGUACUUCCAGUUGAGAGACCGAGUUCCGUUUGUUGCGCGCAUACUCAUCUACACUCUUUGGACUUAGACCUCUCUGCAGCCCGUCAAUAGUCGCCACAGUAUACGGAAGAACCAAUAGCUCGAGUAAAUGUGUAUAUUUUAAUCAUUGAAUGCUCGUUGACCAAUACUCAUUUCCAACUCCACGUUUUUCUUAACACAUUGUUACAUGUGGUUUUUUUAUUAAAAUUUUAUUCUU
rnacentral:misc_RNA from 1 species